rnacentral:rRNA from 1 species
UACGAAGGGGGCUAGCGUUGUUCGGAAUUACUGGGCGUAAAGGGCGCGUAGGCGGUGCCUCAAGUCAGGCGUGAAAGCCCCGGGCUCAACCUGGGAACCGCGCUUGAGACUGGCAUGCUCGAGUUCGGGAGAGGAUGGUGGAAUUCCCAGUGUAGGGGUGAAAUUCGUAGAUAUUGGGAAGAACACCGAUCGGCGAAGGCAGCCAUCUGGACCGACACUGACGCUGAGGCGCGAAAGCGUGGGGAGCAAACAGG